GACACCGUGUACACCAUUGAAGUUCCCUUUCACGGCAAGACGUUUAUCCUGAAGGUGAGUGAGGGGAGCGGGUGUCCUGGAGCCCCAGACAGCACAGGAGGCUCCAGGAAGGUGCCGAGGGGCCCUCUGGUGGGUGCCCCCCACCAAGAGGGAAGGGUUGGUCUGCCCGAGCCCAUCUGGCACCACCCAGCCCUCUGCCGCCCUGUCCCAGACCUUCCUGCCCUGUCCUGCGGAGCUCGUGUACCAGGAGGUGAUCCUGCAGCCCGAGAGGAUGGUGCUGUGGAACAAGACAGUGACUGCCUGCCAGAUCCUGCAGCGAGUGGAAGACAACACCCUCAUCUCCUAUGACGUGUCUGCAGGGGCUGCGGGCGGCGUGGUCUCCCCAAGGGACUUCGUGAAUGUCCGGCGCAUUGAGCGGCGCAGGGACCGAUACUUGUCAUCAGGGAUCGCCACCUCACACAGUGCCAAGCCCCCGACGCACAAAUAUGUCCGGGGAGAGAAUGGCCCUGGGGGCUUCAUCGUGCUCAAGUCGGCCAGUAACCCCCGUGUCUGCACCUUUGUCUGGAUUCUUAAUACAGAUCUCAAGGUGGGGUGCUGGGGGGCUGCCAGGUGGGUUCUGUGGAGUGGAGGGGACCCUGCUGCUGACUUGGUUGCUGCAUGACUUUGGGGGCUCUCUGCCAUGCCUGGGCCUCCCCUUUGUCAGCCUCCUUUCUUACUUGAA
rnacentral:sRNA from 1 species